rnacentral:rRNA from 1 species
GGAGGGAUCAUUACAAGUGACCCCGGUCUAACCACCGGGAUGUUCAUAACCCUUUGUUGUCCGACUCUGUUGCCUCCGGGGCGACCCUGCCUUCGGGCGGGGGCUCCGGGUGGACACUUCAAACUCUUGCGUAACUUUGCAGUCUGAGUAAACUUAAUUAAUAAAUUAAAACUUUUAACAACGGAUCUCUUGGUUCUGGCAUCGAUGAAGAACGCAGCGAAAUGCGAUAAGUAAUGUGAAUUGCAGAAUUCAGUGAAUCAUCGAAUCUUUGAACGCACAUUGCGCCCCCUGGUAUUCCGGGGGGCAUGCCUGUUCGAGCGUCAUUUCACCACUCAAGCCUCGCUUGGUAUUGGGCAUCGCGGUCCGCCGCGUGCCUCAAAUCGACCGGCUGGGUCUUCUGUCCCCUAAGCGUUGUGGAAACUAUUCGCUAAAGGGUGUUCGGGAGGCUACGCCGUAAAACAACCCCAUUUCUAAGGUUGACCUCGGAUCAGGUAGGGAUACCCGCU